GACGAACGCUGGCGGCGUGCUUAACACAUGCAAGUCGUACGGUAAGGCCCUUUCGGGGGUUCACGAGUGGCGCACGGGUGAGUAAUACGUGAGUACCCUGCCAACCACGUUGGAAUAACGCUAGAAAACUGGUGCUAAUACUGGAUAUGUGCUCCUGCUGCAUGGUGGGGGUUGGAAAGCUCCGGCGGUUGUGGAUGGCCUCGCGGCCUAUCAGCUUGUUGGUGGGGUAGUGGCCUACAAAGGCGGCGACGGGUAGCCGGCCUGAGAGGGUGACCGGCCACAUUGGGACUGAGAGACGGCCCAGACGCCGACGGGAGGCAGCAGUGGGGAAGAUUGCACAAGGGGCGCAAGCCGGAUGCAGCAGCGCCGCGGGCGGGAUGACGGCCUUGGGGUUGAAGACCGGGUUCAGCAGAGACGACGCGUUUUGUGACGGUACCUUCAGAAGAAGCACCGGCUAACUACGUG
rnacentral:rRNA from 1 species